GCGUAACUGCCGCGUUGGUGGCUGCCAAUAAAGUUUUUUGAUCUAUGCUUUGUAAGUUUAGGGAGCUGACAGCUUUUUGUGGUAGUAAACCGGGCUUGUACUCGGAAACGAAAAUAAAAUGCAUCAGUGCCCACCUGGUCCGUCCAGGUCAUAAACUGAGGUAAAACGGCACGGCAGUCUUUUA
rfam:Cyanobacterium endosymbiont of Epithemia turgida isolate EtSB Lake Yunoko DNA, complete genome.